UACGAAGGGGGCUAGCGUUGCUCGGAAUCACUGGGCGUAAAGCGCACGUAGGCGGCUUUAUAAGUCAGGGGUGAAAUCCUGGAGCUCAACUCCAGAACUGCCUUUGAUACUGAGAAGCUUGAGUCCGGGAGAGGUGAGUGGAACUGCGAGUGUAGAGGUGAAAUUCGUAGAUAUUCGCAAGAACACCAGUGGCGAAGGCGGCUCACUGGCCCGGUACUGACGCUGAGGUGCGAAAGCGUGGGGAGCAAACAGG
rnacentral:rRNA from 1 species